rnacentral:rRNA from 1 species
AACGACUCUCGGCAACGGAUAUCUCGGCUCUCGCAUCGAUGAAGAACGUAGCGAAAUGCGAUACUUGGUGUGAAUUGCAGAAUCCCGUGAACCAUCGAGUCUUUGAACGCAAGUUGCGCCCGAAGCCAUCAGGUUGAGGGCACGUCUGCCUGGGCGUCACGCAUCUCGUCGCCCCCCU